UUUGGUUCUGCGAUUUUCGGAACUCGAGUGACUUCAAUUUUCACGUGGUUUUUCUAAUCUCGUCAUGUUUUGUUCAAUUUAUUUGUGAUACUGAAUUAAAAUAACAGCGAUGCAUCGUCUAAUAUCGGCUAGAAACUUAUAUCAGACUUCUUUCCACGGUUUAUCAUUACCAGCAAAUGGUACAGUAAGAAACUCAUCACUUGCCGAUAUAAAAUGUUUGUAUUGCAGGAAGAUUCUUUUGGGUCAGCACGACAUAGAAAACUUACUUUCUGUACGACAUCAAUCUACGAGAACGGCUAGUCUUCUUCGAUCGCUUCGGAAAAAAUCCAAGCA